GACGAACGCUGGCGGCGUGCUUAACACAUGCAAGUCGAACGGAAAGGCCCUGCUUUUGUGGGGUGCUCGAGUGGCGAACGGGUGAGUAACACGUGAGUAACCUGCCCUUGACUUUGGGAUAACUUCAGGAAACUGGGGCUAAUACCGGAUAGGAGCUCCUGCUGCAUGGUGGGGGUUGGAAAGUUUCGGCGGUUGGGGAUGGACUCGCGGCUUAUCAGCUUGUUGGUGGGGUAGUGGCUUACCAAGGCUUUGCCGGGUAGCCGGCCUGGGAGGGUGACCGGCCACAUUGGGACUGAGAUACGGCACAGACUCCUACGGGAGGCAGCAGUGGGGAAUAUUGCACAAUGGGCGGAAGCCUGAUGCAGCAACGCCGCGUGCGGGAUGACGGCCUUCGGUUUGUAAUCCGCUUUCGCCUGUGACGAAGCGUGAGUGACGGUAAUGGGUAAAGAAGCACCGGCUAACUACGUG
rnacentral:rRNA from 1 species